UCUAAAUUAAAGACAUUUCUAGUCAGAAACAAGCAAAAAUGGUGAAUGCAGAGUAUCCGAAGCCCAAGGUACAGACAUUAUGAGAAGUGUCGAAUGAUUUUAAGGAAAGAGUCGUAUUUGAAAAUUCAAGACUCUUUAGUGGAGGUCAAGCAAGUCAAUAUAGGUAGAAUGCUCUACAAAAUUAUGCGAGUGAGGGGAUGUCAAACAAUGGGUCAGGAAAUGCGUUGGUUUUCUGCAAAACAAAAGCUGAUUGCCAUUACAUAAGUCACUUUAGCAUCAUGAGACUGCUGCUUGUUAAAUUUAGAAAUAAACCAAAAAACAAGACACGAAAAAAUAAAAAAAAAACGAUUUAAUGAUGCUCUCUUUACACUGGGAUAAAUAAAAACAAACACAUCACAUCUAAUGUGGACAUGUCAGACGCCUUGUGAAGCACUAAAGGAAAAAUUCAGUUUCGAGCUAUGGCACUUGCCGCAUAGAUGUGGGGGGCCUUGCACUAAUAGUGAUAGUUACCACUGCAUUUAGAAAUUGAAAGCAUUCAUGCAGACAAGGAUGAUUCUUUAUAUUUUUGGCUACCAUUACAAAUGCCUCCACCAAGUGUUACAGUGCUGCACGCAGCCAUACUAAGGAUCUCGCUGCAACACCUACAGGUAAAAAGCAGAAGCAGUCAAAGUGCUGGUGUGUACUGGACACUAUGUUUGAAAACUUUUAGGCAAGAAGAGUGCAAGAAGCAGACAUAACAACUGCAUUUAUUUCCAUAAUUCCCCAUUUGAAUGGCCUUUUCUUUUUGCUGAGACAAUGCCUACGCCUAGCCACAGCAGCUCCCUCAUACAGACUCCGCAAGCCAAGAGGCCGUGGAGGCAAAUGCAGGCAGCCAGCACACCUCGAACAGCCACCUUGGCUGCGGGUGUGUCACCCUAGUCGCCAAGGAAACAUUUGAGGGAAAGCGACAGGCAAUGUGAACAGCCACUUCUCCAUGUAAACGAUACUCUUUCUCUCGGAUGACUCCUACGCCUCACCACGCCAGCAGACUUGUGCACAAAGAUGCCGCGGAGGCACGUGCAGGUCAGAGGCAAGAAGCAGUGGCACUGGUGUCGACAUUCACCCAAUUUCUUUUUCUUAUACUGAGGCAGCCAGCAUACCUCGAACAGCCACCUUGACUCCGGGUGUGUCAGUAGAUUCCUGUUGUACAUAUGCUCAUAAUAAGCUUCAGGAAACUUGAACUUGAUAAUAAACUUGAAGGCAAAUGGGA
rnacentral:lncRNA from 1 species